rnacentral:misc_RNA from 1 species
AUAGAAAGUCUAAAUGUAUGUUCUGUAGCCACAAAGGGGUCGAGGGAGAACUUAAUAGCUACAGAACAUACAUUUAGACUUUCUAUUUCGAUUGUACAUGCAACUUUUACGAAUUAUGCUUUCAUGUACAACAAUAAUGAACGAGAAGGCUAACCAGGACUUCUCCUCAAGGUCCCAGCAUCAAUCAGCUAUGCACAUUAUACACAUUGUGAUUUUCUGUUCACCAGAAGGGGCACCACCCAACAUAAUUUUGGCACAAAUUUUCUUGUGAAGUGGCUUGGAUAAUCAGCUUCUGAACUUGCAAUUUAACAGAUAAGCCAUGAUCUACUUCCCGACUAUCUCCUAAAAUUAAGGAGCUAUGGUCUACUGCAUGUUGGAUAGACAAGGAAGANAAAAAAGAAAAAAACAGAAGAUGGGGGGAAAAAACCACGUCCAGUCAUUUUUUUACUCCUCGGAGCCAUGACAACCACAGCACGCUCGUUCAAAACCUCAUUAGCAUCACCAAGCAGAUUAACAGCCUGAAGAAGUUCUCUCUCACGAGCACUUCGUUGAGGUUGAGGAAGCUCUCUACUAGGAGCAGAUUCCUCAGCAUUUACAACAGCAGAAGUAUGAGUAUUCCCAAACAUUGACAUUUGAGGGACUUCAUUGAAGUUGAAAAGACGCCAGUUGAUGAGGGGAUCAUGAACAAAUGCCUCCAUCAUUGCCAUCACACUAUCC